GAUGAACGCUGGCGGCGUGCUUAACACACGCAAGUCGAACGAAGCACUUUAUUUGAUUUCCUUCGGGACUGAUUAUUUUGUGACUGAGUGGCGGACGGGUGAGUAACGCGUGGGUAACCUGCCUUGUACAGGGGGAUAACAGUUGGAAACGGCUGCUAAUACCGCAUAAGCGCACAGCAUCGCAUGAUGCAGUGUGAAAAACUCCGGUGGUAUAAGAUGGACCCGCGUUGGAUUAGCUAGUUGGUGAGGUAACGGCCCACCAAGGCGACGAUCCAUAGCCGACCUGAGAGGGUGACCGGCCACAUUGGGACUGAGACACGGCCCAAACUCCUAUGGGAGGCAGCAGUGGGGAAUAUUGCACAAUGGGCGAAAGCCUGAUGCAGCGACGCCGCGUGAGCGAAGAAGUAUUUCGGUAUGUAAAGCUCUAUCAGCAGGGAAGAUAAUGACGGUACCUGACUAAGAAGCACCGGCUAAAUACGUG
rnacentral:rRNA from 1 species